rnacentral:lncRNA from 1 species
ACACACGUACGUACGACGAUCGAGCUGAGUACGUACGUACCAUGGCGCGCCUUGCAAAAAUGAUGGCCCUCUGCUUUGUGUUUGCCGUGAUAGCUGCGCUGCUGCCUAUGGCGGCAGAGGCGAAGAAGAAGAGCCACCUCCGGAAGCACGCCGGCGAUGCAAUCGGUUGGGCGCUUCCUCAGCCGCAGUGUUGGUGGAUAAUCUUCUGCCCCCCCGAGGCGAAUAAGCUUGUCCGCGCCCCCGCCCCCGCCCCCGCC